rnacentral:misc_RNA from 1 species
UUGUAGCUCAGUUGGUUAGAGCGCGCGCUUGAUAAGCGUGAGGUCGGAAGUUCAAGUCUUCCCAGGCCCACCAUUUUGAUCGAGUGCGGAGCAUUCGUCUUCUGGUACGGGGCCAUAGCUCAGCUGGGAGAGCGCGUGCUUUGCAAGCAUGAGGUCGUCGGUUCGAUCCCGUCUGGCUCCACCAGAUGGAAUUGAAGCUCGAGAAUGCCUCGUCAAAUUCGUCCGCGAAACAUCACUUCGCACUCAUUGGUCCGGAUGGACGGUGACGUGCGUGUUUUCUGACAUCGUAAAGAGGAGAUCGAUCCGAGUUUGGAUCUGCGAAGCAAUUCGCGGGUACCAUUCCUAAUCUCCAGAUCGUUUUCGGCGCUCGUUCAUCGCUACUCAUCGCAAGAUGAGUGAGAUGAGUGAGUUGUAAAACGAUCUUUGUAGCGAAGCUUGACCGCCUCGCUAUCGGGCCGAUCUUACGAAGCAAGCUGGUCUUUCUAGUCAAUGUCCGGCUGUGCAAUCGCAUUCAUCGAGGAUGCGCGCCUGGGACUUCGGUCUUUGGGCAAUUACACAGACAACAUUCUGCCGAGUGUGUGGACAUUGAUAAUGAGAGCAAUCAAGUGCCUUAAGGGUGUUCGGUGGAUGCCUUGGCGCUGAGAGGCGAUGAAGGACGUGCUACGCUGCGAUAAGCCGUGGGGAGCUGCGAAGAAGCUUUGAUCCACGGAUUUCCGAAU